UCGUUUGGCACCUCGAUGUCGAGUGCGAGCUGUUGGUGUAAAGUAAGAAUUUGAUAUCUUACGUAAAACCGAGUGUACUUCAGGGUAAGAGUCACUUAACUAAUAAUGUAGGCGGGUACCCACUCCCGUGUAUCCAACUCUUAAAGGAUACUGAUCGCACAUCCCCACUUAUCAGGGGAGCGUCUCACGGGAUCUCUGAUGCGUAACCACAGAGAUCUCGGAAGCGAGGGUGAAAGUAGUCAAUACCUUACGUAUUGAAGUAAUUGACUAUGAGAAUGUGCUGGACAAGACUACAGCAAGGAAACUGAUGUAAUAAAACGUCUUCAACAGGAAUUCUGGGACAAUAAAUACGUUAGAUGCAAAUCAACCCAGGCCACAAACAAGUGAUCUUCUCACAUGAAGGAGGUACUCCGUACGACAGGAGGCCUUAAAGAGUCUUUAGAGAAGAGGCGUAGAGUCAGGGUCAGGUCCAGUAUUAUACAUUAUUGGAACAGAUAAGUGAGGGAGAAGCUCCAAUUAAUCUUUAAAACUUAAUUGGUGGGGUCGCUAUAAGCUCUCCCUCAUUACGAUUCCACAAGAAGCUAACGGACACAUGUAAUGUGUGUCAUAUGCCCACGUGUGGAGCCGAAGUAGAUCAUUUAAAGAACUGCAGGGUUAAUAAUACUCUUUGCUUGUAUUGUUGUAUGCGUAAUAUACCUAAGGAAUGGAGUAAAAUUCGAUGGCCGGAAGUUGAACAAAAAGUGUAUUACCUACAGUUCUUUAAAUUGAGUAAAGAAGGUAUAGUUUUAUGGAUCCAAAAUAUGGAAUUCCCAAAAGUCUUUAAUUAAGUGUAUGUAAGCAAGACUGCUUUCGAAAAGGGGCACUGCAUGGUUCAUUCUACCUAAUUUAUAGAUGUGAGUCUCUACUCGGUAGGAGCCGUAUGAAUGGAGACAUUCACGUACGGUUUUGGAGUAGCAGGAUAUAUGGUAACAUGUACUUGACUAUAAGCUC
rnacentral:ncRNA from 11 species